rnacentral:rRNA from 1 species
AUACGUAGGGGGCGAGCGUUGUCCGGAAUUACUGGGCGUAAAGAGCUCGUAGGUGGUUUGUCGCGUCGUCUGUGAAAUUCCGGGGCUUAACUCCGGGCGUGCAGGCGAUACGGGCAUAACUUGAGUACUGUAGGGGAGACUGGAAUUCCUGGUGUAGCGGUGAAAUGCGCAGAUAUCAGGAGGAACACCGGUGGCGAAGGCGGGUCUCUGGGCAGUAACUGACGCUGAGGAGCGAAAGCAUGGGUAGCGAACAGGAUUAGAUACCCGGGUAGUCCAGGCCGUAAACGGUGGGCGCUAGGUGUAGCGGUCUUCCACGACUUCUGUGCCGUAGCUAACGCAUUAAGCGCCCCGCCUGGGGAGUACGGCCGCAAGGCUAAAACUCAAAGGAAUUGACGGGG